GACAGAGUAGUUUAAAAAGAACGGUAAAUUGCAAAUUUGAGGGUAUGAGAAGUUAUUUCAUUUCUGUCU
rnacentral:tRNA from 1 species